rnacentral:sRNA from 1 species
AUGAUUGGUCUCUUUUCUCAUGGAUUCUUGGCUGGCUGUGCUGUGUGGAAUAUUGUUGUGAUAUAUGUUCUAGCAGGAGAUCAGCUAUCCAACCUCUCAAACCUUCUGCAACAAUAUAAGACCCUAGCGUAUCCAUUCCAGAGUCUUCUGUACUUGCUUUUGGCUCUGAGUACAAUUUCAGCUUUUGACAGGAUUGACUUUGCUAAAAUAUCAGUAGCAAUCCGAAAUUUUUUGGCCCUGGAUCCUACAGCUUUAGCAUCUUUCUGGAAGCAGGAAUUGAGGAACAGAUUCUCCAGCCAUGGAUUGUGGUGAAUCUCGUGGUGGCUCUUCUGGUUGGAUUAUCUUGGCUAUUUUUGUCUUAUAGGCCAGGCAUGGAUCUUAGUGAAGAGUUAAUGUUCUCCUCAGAGGUGGAAGAAUAUCCUGAUAAAGAGAAAGAAAUCAAAGCCUCUUCAUAAUACCAGCUCACCUUUGGAGGAAUAAUGACCCAGUAUUUGUCCCAUUUUUGUUUUUAAAUGUAUUUUUAUAAGAUGUGUACAUGUGUAUUUGUAAUAGAUUUUUUGAUUAUAUAAUACUGAAACAUCUCUCAGUAUUAUGAAAAAUGUUAAAAUUGUGUUUGCUAUUUAUGUCUAAACAUUAAUUUGUCUAGCAUUAUCAUCUUAAUGACAAAGGGAAUAAUGAACUAGAAACCAGCAAGUGAAAGUGUUUAUUUCCUAUUUUCUCAAAACAGUUGUAUUUAUAACUAUUAUCUUAAAAAGCACUGGUUUAGAAAAAGCCAUAACUUAAAUAGUGUUAUAAAAUAUAUAUCAGGUUUAAACAUAAAUUUAGCGA